AGCGAACGCUGGCGGCAGGCUUAACACAUGCAAGUCGAGCGCCUGUAGCAAUACAGGAGCGGCAGACGGGUGAGUAACACGUGGGAACGUGCCUUUUGGUUCGGAAUAACUCAGGGAAACUUGAGCUAAUACCGAAUAAGCCCUUCGGGGAAAGAUUUAUCGCCGAAAGAUCGGCCCGCGUAAGAUUAGCUAGUUGGUGAGGUAAUGGCUCACCAAGGCUACGAUCUUUAGCUGGUCUGAGAGGAUGAUCAGCCACACUGGGACUGAGACACGGCCCAGACUCCUACGGGAGGCAGCAGUGGGGAACAUUGGACAAUGGGCGCAAGCCUGAUCCAGCCAUGCCGCGUGAGUGAUGAAGGCCUUAGGGUUGUAAAGCUCUUUUAGCAGGGACGAUAAUGACGGUACCUGCAGAAAAAGCCCGGCCAACUUCGUG
rnacentral:rRNA from 1 species